ACGUAGGGUGCAAGCGUUAAUCGGAAUUACUGGGCGUAAAGCGUGCGCAGGUGGUUCGUUAAGACAGUUGUGAAAUCCCCGGGCUUAACCUGGGAACUGCAAUUGUGACUGGCGGACUAGAGUUUGGCAGAGGGGGGUGGAAUUCCUGGUGUAGCAGUGAAAUGCGUAGAUAUCAGGAGGAACACCGAUGGCGAAGGCAGCCCCCUGGGCCACGACUGACACUCAUGCACGAAAGCGUGGGGAGCAAACAGG
rnacentral:rRNA from 1 species